GAUGAACGCUGGCGGCGUGCCUAAUACAUGCAAGUCGAGCGAACAGACGAGGAGCUUGCUCCUCUGACGUUAGCGGCGGACGGGUGAGUAACACGUGGAUAACCUACCUAUAAGACUGGGAUAACUUCGGGAAACCGGAGCUAAUACCGGAUAAUAUAUUGAACCGCAUGGUUCAAUAGUGAAAGACGGUUUUGCUGUCACUUAUAGAUGGAUCCGCGCCGCAUUAGUUAGUUGGUAAGGUAACGGCUUACCAAGGCAACGAUGCGUAGCCGACCUGAGAGGGUGAUCGGCCACACUGUAACUGAGACACGGUCCAGACUCCUACGGGAGGCAGCAGUAGGGAAUCUUCCGCAAUGGGCGAAAGCUUGACGGAGCAACGCCGCGUGAGUGAUGAAGGUCUUCGGAUCGUAAAACUCUGUUAUUAGGGAAGAACAAAUGUGUAAGUAACUAUGCACGUCUUGACGGUACCUAAUCAGAAAGCCACGGCUAACUACGUG
rnacentral:rRNA from 1 species